rnacentral:rRNA from 1 species
GAUGAACGCUGGCGGCGUGCUUAACACAUGCAAGUCGAGCGAACAGACGCGGAGCUUGCUCCUCGGACGUUUGCCGCGGACGGGUGAGUAACACGUGUAUAACCUACCUAUAAUUCGGGGAUAACCACGGGAAACCGGAGCUAAUACCGGAUAAGAUAUUGAACCGUAUGGUGCAAUAGAGAAAUUCGGCUUUGCUGUCUCUUAUAGCUGGUUCCGCGCGGCAUUGGCUGGUUUGUAAGUUAAUGGCUUACCAAGGCUACGAUGCGUAGCCGACCUGAUAGGGUGGUCGCCCACACUGGAGGUUGACCAGGGUCCAGGGGCCUGCGGGAGGGAGCAGUCGGGUAUGUUCCGCAAUGGGCGGGAGCCUGGCGGAACGACGCCGCGUGAGUGGUAGAAGUCUUCCGAGCGUAAAACUGUGUUUUGAGGGAAGAACAAAUUUGUCAGUAACUGUGGACGUCUUGACGGUAACUGGUAAAAAAGCCACGGCUAACUACGUG